AUGCUUACUUGGGAGGGGAGAGUGCACAAUCAAGAAGGUGGUUGUCCCAGGGUGAGGCUCCUCCAUUGCACUUAGGAUGGGUUGACCCCUGCUAAAUUUAAAUUUGCUUAAUGCAAUGCCAAUAAAUAUAAAAGUGCUAGCAACUGCAUAAUGAUCAAACUGGCA